rnacentral:rRNA from 1 species
GACGAACGCUGGCGGCGUGCCUAAUACAUGCAAGUAGAACGCUGAAGGAGGAGCUUGCUCUUCUGGAUGAGUUGCGAACGGGUGAGUAACGCGUAGGUAACCUGCCUGGUAGCGGGGGAUAACUAUUGGAAACGAUAGCUAAUACCGCAUAAGAGUAGAUGUUGCAUGACAUUUGCUUAAAAGGUGCAAUUGCAUCACUACCAGAUGGACCUGCGUUGUAUUAGCUAGUUGGUGGGGUAACGGCUCACCAAGGCGACGAUACAUAGCCGACCUGAGAGGGUGAUCGGCCACACUGGGACUGAGACACGGCCCAGACUCCUUCGGGAGGCAGCAGUAGGGAAUCUUCGGCAAUGGACGGAAGUCUGACCGAGCAACGCCGCGUGAGUGAAGAAGGUUUUCGGAUCGUAAAGCUCUGUUGUAAGAGAAGAACGAGUGUGAGAGCGGAAAGUUCACACUGUGACGGUAGCUUACCAGAAAGGGACGGCUAACUACGUG